CUAUAGACCACAAGUUCCCACUCUACAAGGAAGAGAAGUAUCAAAUAACCAUAAAAGAAGAAGAUUGGCAACGUAGCAAUAGCAACAUUGGUGUGAAACGUCAUUACAAGUGUGAAACUUUCAAGGAUCACUCACAAGUAAUUCAAGUUGUUGAAUGUUCUCCAAGUGCAGCUGGUAUCUGAAGAUUCUAGGAGACAAUCAAUGUACGAGACAAACUUUGGCUAGGAAGUCCUCUGUUUCAUUAAGAAAACAAGACAAUCUCAGAAAUCUGUCUAUCUUGUUUCUCUUUUUGUCUUGUGUAAUAUAACAGAUGGAUUGAUUUUGAUCUACGCCGAUAUCCUUCAACGAGAUUUGUAAAUCAUUGUUAGAAUCAAAUUGCUUUAUCAUAACACACACCAAAAUUCAAAGAAAUUUUUAUGACGUAUAAACCUUGCUGGGCUAUUGGAGAAGAGAAGAAACUCCAUAGAUGGAGACCAAAAAUCAAAACAAGAGAUCAAUGAUUCUCAUUACCAUUGGAGUAGCAGAAAACGAAAGACCUGAUAAUUAAUUUAAGUUAUGUGAUUUUGAUGUUGAGAGAGACGCCGAUUUGUGUCACGUACAAGGAAAAUUCGAUUUGCAGAGAAA
rnacentral:lncRNA from 1 species